rnacentral:rRNA from 1 species
AUUGAACGCUGGCGGCAGGCCUAACACAUGCAAGUCGAACGAGUGGCGGACGGGAGAGUAAUGUCUGGGACACUCCCUGAUGGAGGGGGAUAACUACUGGAAACGGUAGCUAAUCCCGCAUACCAUCGGAUGUGCCCGGAUGGGCUUGGCUUGUGGGGGGGGUAACGGCUCACCUAGGCGACGAUCCCUAGCUGGUCUGAGAGGUGGACCGGCAACACGGGAACUGAGACACGGUCCAGAAUCCUACGUGAGGCAGCAGUGGGGAAUAUUGCACAAGGGGCGAAAGCCUGAUGCAGCAAUGCCGCGUGUGUGAAGAAGGCUUUCGGGUUGUAAAGUACGUUCAGCGGGGAGGCGUUACCCGCAGAAGAAGCACCGGCUAACUCCGUGCCAGCAGCCGCGGUAAUAC